AUGAGGAAAGGAUUAUUCGCCAACAAGGAUGAAUAUCUCUUCUUUGGAGAAGAAAAUAGGCUGAAAAUGUUUCAGCCAAAUACAUUCAAUUUUAAGCCAAAAUCCCAUAUUAAGCUCGAUCAAGCUCAAAGAUGCAUAUUGGAUAACUUUUGGUUCCAAUAUACUCGCAAAAGAGAGGAACAAGGAUAUUUUUUAUCAAUUCUCAAUAGUUUGGCUGAAUAUUUUAAUGAAUUAAACAAAAAUGUGCCAAAGCCAGCAAAGGUUGAAAUACCAAAAGGAGAAACUCUAUAUCUCAUAUUCGAUGGAAAUAAACCUGGCAUAUAUUUGGAAUGGGAAAAUAUUGUGGUUGAAAAAAUAGAUGCAAAAAGAAAUGGACAAGAUUUAACAUUCAAAAGAUAUUACAGUAUAGAUGAGGCCUUACUUUGGGCAAGGAAGGUAUUAGGACCAGAUUAUUAUAUUGACCCAAAGGCCAAAGACUAUAUCCAAAUGAAAAGAGGCAUACCUGCUUCACCAACUCCCACAAAGGGGAGGCAUCAAGCUCAAAAAUUAUAA
rnacentral:rRNA from 1 species